UCCUACGGGAGGCAGCAGUGGGGAAUAUUGCACAAUGGACGAAAGUCUGAUGCAGCAACGCCGCGUGGAGGAUGACACAUUUCGGUGCGUAAACUCCUUUUAUAUGGGAAGAUAAUGACGGUACCAUAUGAAUAAGCACCGGCUAACUCCGUGCCAGCAGCCGCGGUAAUA
rnacentral:rRNA from 1 species